rnacentral:rRNA from 1 species
AUUGAACGCUGGCGGCAGGCCUAACACAUGCAAGUCGAGCGGAUGAAGGGAGCUUGCUCCUGGAUUCAGCGGCGGACGGGUGAGUAAUGCCUAGGAAUCUGCCUGGUAGUGGGGGAUAACGUCCGGAAACGGGCGCUAAUACCGCAUACGUCCUGAGGGAGAAAGUGGGGGAUCUUCGGACCUCACGCUAUCAGAUGAGCCUAGGUCGGAUUAGCUAGUUGGUGGGGUAAAGGCCUACCAAGGCGACGAUCCGUAACUGGUCUGAGAGGAUGAUCAGUCACACUGGAACUGAGACACGGUCCAGACUCCUACGGGAGGCAGCAGUGGGGAAUAUUGGACAAUGGGCAAAAGCCUGAUCCAGCCAUGCCGCGUGUGUGAAGAAGGUCUUCGGAUUGUAAAGCACUUUAAGUUGGGAGGAAGGGCAGUA